rnacentral:rRNA from 1 species
CAGCCGCCGCGGUAAUACGAGGGGGGCAAGCGUUGUUCGGAAUUAUUGGGCGUAAAGGGUGCGUAGGCGGUUUGGCAAGUCUUAUGUGAAAUCUUCGGGCUCAACCCGAAGUCUGCAUGAGAAACUGCCGGGCUUGAGUAUGGGAGAGGUGAGUGGAAUUUCCGGUGUAGCGGUGAAAUGCGUAGAUAUCGGAAGGAACACCUGUGGCGAAAGCGGCUCACUGGACCAUUUCUGACGCUGAUGCACGAAAGCUAGGGGAGCAAACAGGAUUAGAUACCCCAGUAGUCCCUGUCUCUUAUAC